rnacentral:rRNA from 1 species
GACGAACGCUGGCGGCGUGCUUAACACAUGCAAGUCGAACGGAAAGGCCCUGCUUUUGUGGGGUGCUCGAGUGGCGAACGGGUGAGUAACACGUGAGUAACCUGCCCUUGACUUUGGGAUAACUUCAGGAAACUGGGGCUAAUACCGGAUAGGAGCUCCUGCUGCAUGGUGGGGGUUGGAAAGUUUCGGCGGUUGGGGAUGGACUCGCGGCUUAUCAGCUUGUUGGUGGGGUAGUGGCUUACCAAGGCUUUGACGGGUAGCCGGCCUGAGAGGGUGACCGGGCCAAUUGGGACUGAGAUACGGGCCAGACUCCUAAGGGAGGCAGGAGGGGGGAAUAUUGCACAAUGGGGGGAAGCCUGAUGCAGCAACGCCGGGUGGGGGAUGACGGCCUUCGGGUUGUAAACCGCUUUCGCCUGGGACGAAGCGGGAGUGACGGUAAUGGGUAAAGAAGCACCGGCUAACUACGUG